rnacentral:rRNA from 2 species
UUGUCUCAAAGAUUAAGCCAUGCAUGUCUCAGUACAAGCCGAAUUAAGGUGAAACCGCGAAAGGCUCAUUAAAUCAGUUAUGGUUCCUUAGAUCGUACCCAAAUUUACUUGGAUAACUGUGGUAAUUCUAGAGCUAAUACAUGCAAACAGAGCUCCGACCGGAGACGGAAGGAGCGCUUUUAUUAGAUCAAAACCAAUCGGCGUCGGGCGCAAGCUCGUCGUCGUUCAUUCUGGCGAAUCUGAAUAACUUUCUGCUGAUCGCACGGUCUAGCACCGGCGACGCAUCUUUCAAAUGUCUGCCUUAUCAACUGUCGAUGGUAGGUUCCGUGCCUACCAUGGUCGUAACGGGUAACGGGGAAUCAGGGUUCGAUUCCGGAGAGGGAGCCUGAGAAACGGCUACCACAUCCAAGGAAGGCAGCAGGCGCGCAAAUUACCCACUCCCGGCACGGGGAGGUAGUGACGAAAAAUAACGAUACGGGACUCAUCCGAGGCCCCGUAAUCGGAAUGAGUACACUCUAAACCCUAUAACGAGGAUCAAUUGGAGGGCAAGUCUGGUGCCAGCAGCCGCGGUAAUUCCAGCUCCAAUAGCGUAUAUUAAAGUUGUUGCGGUUAAAAAGCUCGUAGUCGAAUCUGUGUCUCGCGCCGCCGGUUCAUCGCUCGCGGUGUUUAACUGGCGUGUCUCCGCGAGACGUCCUGCCGGUGGGCUUAGCCCGCGAGGGCGGCCCAACUCUUCGAAUCCCGCCGCGGUGCUCUUCAUUGAGUGUCGAGGCGGGCCGGCACGUUUACUUUGAACAAAUUAGAGUGCUUAAAGCAGGCUAAAACUUCGCCUGAAUACCGUGUGCAUGGAAUAAUGGAAUAGGACCUCGGUUCUAUUUUGUUGGUUUUCGGAACCCCGAGGUAAUGAUUAAUAGGAACGGAUGGGGGCAUUCGUAUUGCGACGUUAGAGGUGAAAUUCUUGGAUCGUCGCAAGACGGACGGAAGCGAAAGCAUUUGCCAAAAA